CUACGGGUUGCACCAGUGGGGAAUAUUGCACAAUGGAGGAAACUCUGAUGCAGCAACGCCGCGUGGAGGAUGACACUUUUCGGAGCGUAAACUCCUUUUAUAUAGGAAGAAGAUGACGGUACUAUAUGAAUAAGCGCCGGCUAACUCCGUGCCAGCGAGCCGCGGUAAUACGGAGGGCGCAAGCGUUACUCGGAAUCACUGGGCGUAAAGAGCGUGUAGGCGGAUUAAAAAGUCAGAAGUGAAAUCCUAUAGCUUAACUAUAGAACUGCUUCUGAAACUCUUAAUCUAGAAUAUGGGAGAGGUAGAUGGAAUUUCCGGUGUAGGGGUAAAAUCCGUAGAGAUCAGAAGGAAUACCGAUUGCGAAGGCGAUCUACUAGAACAUUAUUGACGCUGAGACGCGAAAGCGUGGGGAGCAAACAGGAUUAGAUACCCCGGUAGUC
rnacentral:rRNA from 1 species